rnacentral:tRNA from 2 species
GACUGCUUGGCGCAAUGGUAGCGCGCGGUCCUCCUAUUACUGCGGUUUAUCCGUGAAAUAGGUAGUGAAAGACUGAGGUUGCGGGUUCGAGUCCCGUGGUGGUCG